GGAAAUUAAACCAACUGGGAUCUCUUCAGUAAUUGCGCAUGAACCAGGAUAUGCUUAGCUUGACAAAUGGAGCUGCUGGCUCUGAAUUGUAUUGUGGGAAUGUAUUACCAACAGAGGUGCAGGUGUCAGCCAUUUGAAAGAAAGCAUCAAUGAGGGUGAGAGUCCUGUUUGUCAUGUGCAGCCUUCUGUGCACGGUGUAUAUUUGCUGAGUCACACUCCUYGGCAUUGGAAUGCAAAGUGGGUGGUAAGUUUCAUGCAAAGGUAAAUAUGCAAUUGAGACUGAUAGCGCACAAGUACCAUGAGGGACAUAUGAAAAGGACUUUGAACAGAGAAUUAAAUGAGUUUGUAUUUGCUAAACACAAAGUAAACAGACUUGAUUUCCUCAGUGAGAUUGUAGUGMUUGCUURACAAUGGGUUUUGGCUGCAAGUGCAAUAAUUCUUGCUUUGUGUGCCAGUUUUUAUGUGGACAUUUGAUUACCUUUGCACAUGAAUGGUAAUUUUCCUGCGGGGUGUGGAUUGCAUAUGCAUGUAAUGAUUUGCAUGUUYGUUAARUGUGUCUGGUGUAUUUGUUUGUGUCCUUGUCCUUGAGGUUGCUUUCUCCCUUGGGCUUACAUGCCCUGGCACACACAUUCUGGCAAAAUGCUUCUGCUUGACCCGUCUUGAAACACGGUCCAAGG
rnacentral:rRNA from 1 species